rnacentral:lncRNA from 10 species
ACACCCCAUAGAGGAUCCAUCCUUAGACCUCAGUUAACGGCCUGGAUCUGGAAAGUGGUGGCUUCAAACAAAUCCAGCCCCUGCAUCCUCCAGAGAUCACAGCUGACAUAGAAUGUAUGUGUCUGCGGCAGGCAGCCAUGUGUGCAUCAGCCAGCAGCCUCCCCAUCAGCACCCUACAGUGGAAUUGUGGGGCUUCCCCCAACAGCACCCUCCAAAAUCAAGAAAAUAUUUCAAGGAAAUGACACGUGGAGAGGACAUGCAGGACAAGUGAUGAGAAUAAUCUUGUUCUGAAAAACCCUUGUUCUGAAGACAAGCUUGCUAAAUGCUUGGAAACCUGGUUUCCAAACAGCACCUCUGACUGAUGUCUGGAAAUCAUCCUACCCUCUCUGAAUCUUGCAAUAGGCUUCUCCAACUGACAUCUUUCACUGCAUCAUGAGGUAGUAGCUCCUCUGAGUCACUUCCCAGCUGGGACUGGGUUUGCUCAGCCCAGCCACUCUGCCUCUCCCACCCCUCCUGCAGCACCACCAUUACCCACUUUUUUUUUUUUUCUGGUUUCUGUAGAGCAGCCUGGUCCCUCAUAGACUCGAAUUCUCUCACCACCAAGACACUGGGCUAAGCAAGCUCUCUCCUGGCCUGCAGCACCUUGGUAUUCUCAGCCUCACACUUGAGGGCAUUUUUAUUCUUUUCUUUGCAGUCAUUUUGUCUUUUCACUGGAACUUAUCUUCCCUGCUUCUCAAGUCAAGAGUGGUACCAUAAGAAAACCAUGCCUUGUUUCUGCCAGCCUCAGCUCUAAGCAACUCCCACCUGAACCGCUGCAAGAACCUCCCAACCAUCCCCUCCACACCUAGGCAUGCACUUUCUAAUCUAUUUUCUAUACCUCAGCUACAACCAAAGCCACAGAACACAGCAGCUAAAGGUGCAGCCUUCAGAAUCACCCCAAGUUCUAGCUAUUUCGCUUCUUUCAGCCUUCCUAUCUGCAAAGUAGGGAUGAUCAUUAGAUUUACCUUGUUCAAUGGUUGUGAUUGCUAAAUGCAACAAUGUGCAGGGUACUCAGCAAAGUUGCUACCACAGUGCAAGUGCUCCAUAUAUUUUACCUAUCAUUAUCAUCAUCUUCAACAUCAUUACCAUUGCAGACCCCAUGUGCUUAGAAUUGGCCCAGCUUCUCCUGGCAACUGGACAGAGAACAGCAUGAACCACCAUGGCUUCUUGCACCACACUUCGAAAAAGGAAAUAUUAUUGCUCCAAGAUCCUGCCCACAAGACCCACACUGGCAUGUCAGUGAGACUGUGAUCAUCAUUGUGGGCACCAUCAUAGUUGCAUAACAACAAUUGGCCAUUGGAUUGCACAAUAUGGCACAGAGAGCCACCUCUAGGGAGUCUGAAACCCCAUGUCCAUGAUUGAAGGUGAUUUUGAGAUGUGGGAAGAGCAAGCAGGUAUCAAUGAUGAAAUCUAGGUGCUCAGAAACAGGGCAGGCAAAACAAUUGCAUGAACCCACAAACCUCCACAGUGUCUGUAAUGUGUAGUCCACUUUUGUGGCACUACAUUUUAUCUCAGAGAUACAACUAAUCUCAGUCUCUUUAUCUGCCAAGUUUCCUGAAUCCUUCUUUCCAGGAUGAAUAAAUUUCCUGGCAAAACAAGACCCAGGGGAAAGUUUUGAAUCCAUAUAAUAAUAUAUCACUGCAUUUGUCACGAACUCUUGAUUCAACAGAACUGAUUUUGUGCGCUUAGUCCUUGCCCUGGGGAUAGAACAUGAACAAGAGAGAAAGGGGCCUGCUCUCAUGGUCUUAUCCUUUAGCAAGAGAGAUAAUAAACAGGUAAAGACAUAAAUAAAUAAUAGACCUUCGGAGGAUGGUAAGAUCUACAGAUAAAAAUAUAACAGGGUAAUGAGCUAGAGAAGGUUAGAGAAAGGGAGGAUUGCUGGGAAGAUGGAAGGGGCUGCAUGUGGCCACUGGGAAGAUGUAAACAUUUGUAACCAGGUCUGUUGUGCAUGGAACAAGGACACACAAACAGGGUAGUAUGGAGAAAGGACAAAGUGACAUGUGCUGGCACCAAGAAGGAGCUCCAGAAAUGAUGGGUGUUAUGUUAGAAUCUACUGGGUGUCAUCAAGGGUGACCCAGGUACAGAUCCUCUGGACUCGGGGGGAAAAAGAGCCAGACAAUUAGACAAAUUGGAGGCACCCCUUCCCAGGAGACGGCCCUUUUGAGCAAGCUGCCAGUGACUGUCCCCUACAUUCAGAGAUGCUGCUGCCUGAGCUGCCAGGUUUCAAAUGCAAAGGGCUGGCUGGGAAUCAAGAGGCCCUUCUUCUCACGUUAAAGCGUAGCAGUCUGUUCUGUUCUCCUGUCAUGUCAUAAAUAAAGGAGCCUUGAUCUCAUAAAAUGGGCAUCUCUGGCUUUGUUGUAAGUGAAGUGCCUGAGGACAGAUGAUUGUAGCUGCACAGGAUAACUGAACAUAGAGGAAUGCGACCACCUCAGUGUACCAGGGAGUGCUCUAGAGAGGAGUAGCCAGCAGCCUCCAGGGUGCUCCAGAAACCUACAUGAAAACGACCAGGCCAGAACAUCUGGUGAGGUCAGAGCUGAGUCCAUGCACCUCAGAGCUUUUGUUCUUCCUGACUAAUUGUGCUCCUGCUGGUGUCACAGAUCAGAGAAGAGGUGCCAGGGACAUGGGGUACAGGAAGCACAGGUUAACUAGAGCACAUUCGCACACAAGCACAAGAAAAGCAAUUAGGAAAGGCCAGCAGGCGAUCCACCUGGCCUUCAGCCUCUUCUCUCGGUGUCUUCCCAGGGUCUGGGAAAGGUUUGCCUGUUUCCUGUGAACUGAAUCACAGGCAGCUCUAAAGGCAGGGAGACCCCUGAAAUGCCUGACUGAGAUUCUGGGAGGAGAUUCUUAAAAGUGAGUGUCAGCAUUAAUAGCUCAGUGUGAUUCUCUUCUCAGGAAAAUGUUCACAAAUUUCAUUUUGCUCUCAAAAGGACCGAUGGCCCCCAAAAACCUUCAGAGACAGAGCUCUUACGACUUUACUGUGCCAGAUGUCAUCCCAAGUCCAGAAACCAUGUCUCAGGGGAGGAAUCUUUUUACUGAAGGGGCAUGAAGAGGGGAAAGAACACUGGCCCUGGGUCCAGCAUUGUAUCAGCUGCUUCACAUCCAGCAUCUAAUGCAGUUGCCCCAUCUAAUGCUCAAGCUGUAACGCUACCUUAGUUUCUCCAAUUAACAGAUGAGAGGGCCAAAGCUCCAAGUAGUUGGGCAGGUUGCCCAGGAUGGAUGCAUACGUAGAAGAUAGAACAACCCAGAGUGGUGUGAUUCCAAACCAUGCUUUCUCCAUUGCAUCACAGUGAUCUUUAAGAUCACCAGCAGAGUGGACUGGGACUUCAGGGUAAGAUCACAUCAAGAUAUCAAGUCCAGAGAGGCCAACCCCACACCGUUCACAUGAUCUCUGAAACAAUUUUCAAGAACAGCACUGUGAAUUCAACUCGACACUCUUCCAUCAAGCAAGGACGGAAAACUCCAAAUGACUGCAAGACAAGAGCUCCCAGGAAACACAGAAUUCCAGAGCAGAUUCUUCUUUUGAAGUUUCUGUGAAUAAAAUCUCAUAAUCAGGUGGGGCUUUGAGCUGCCCUCUCCUUAAAGAGCUUCACUGCAGCAGAUAAAUGGGCCAGCGCCUGAGCUCAAAUGCACGGAAGCAAGGAAGACCCACCCCGCCUGUCUCCCACCUCUCUCGGUGAAACCUUCCCAGAUGGCUGCCAGAAAGGCUUCAGAUUCUUGGGGAAGCAGUCAAAUGUUUCAGCAGCCAUUUGACAAGUCUGUCAUCCUCCUGCCUCUCCCUGACUCUCAGAUGAUGUCCAUAGAGAAUGGAGCUGUUGAGGAAGCCAGAAAGGAACUGAGGAAGUGACAAAUAGAUUCUUGUAUAAAACAAACCAACAAAAAUUUUAUGGGUGCAUUGAAUGCCAGGUAAGCUCAAGAUGCUCAAAUGAGAUAUGGUUAUUUCCAGUGAUGUCAGCAAUGAAAUCCCUGAUCAGAGCAAUCAUAAGCCAGGGGAGUCCUGGUUCAGCCAAGUUGCUUUUCCUUUUGUGAUCUGGAACAAGAUGCUACAUCUCUUUGUUCUCUUGAUAGU